UGCCUCUCAGGGUCACACCUGGAGAGAUUCCAGUACUCUACCAGUCUUCAUGACGGGAGGGAGAGUCAAGCAGAGGAAUAUCCAUUCCAUUCCAAGCUUGGGCAGUGGCUAGUGAGUGUAAGGCAAUCUGCUACAAGU
rnacentral:snoRNA from 1 species